rnacentral:ncRNA from 1 species
GAUUAAAUGUUGAUGAGAAGAGUAACAAUAAGUUGAUGCCUAGCGAGUCAAAGUAGUGGUGUAAUUUGACCAUCAGCUUAUUGUGAAGAUGAACUCGGAGUUGGCUAAUGGUUGAUGCUGUUAGCCCGGAUUGACCACCGAUAAUUGGGUUGAACGUAACGAGUACGUUGCGUGAGCGACAGCAAGACUGUAAUAAUAGGUGGUACCGCGGAGUAUAAACUUCGUCCUUAGU